UCAGUCCUAUUUUCUCUCUCUCUCUCUAUAAACCCGUCUCCAGUCCUCCCUCAAUCAAGGGGUUACGAAAAAGUGAAUACAAAAGCUAAAAUCAAAGAAAGAAUCCAUCAAUUUCUUUUUAGAUUGAUUUCAGAAAUCGGAGUUCGCUGAAGCUCCCGCUUGUUGUGGUGAAGUCGCUGCUCCAAGUUCGUUCCCUUCAGAAGGUGAAGCUGCUUUUAUCCUAGAAUGAAAAAAUCUUGUCCACUGGUUGUGUAGAUGUGCCUUUGAGUCACAAAGGGUGUGGAAGAGGCCGUUGAAGCUGGAAAACGAAUUAGCAAUAUAACCUACCGACAUGAUCUAUACUUCUACUUUGAUUCGUGCUCAAAUGACUGCCAUGCUUGCAUGACAGCAGUGCCGCAAUAAGGGUCCAAAAAAGAAAGUUGUAUGUGCAUAUAACGAAUAUGUUAUUGUUUCAUGGAUUGGCUGUGACACGCAACAAAUUUCCAUCUUGCAUCAGAGGUUCAGAGAGAAAGUAAGUCAAUAUUUUUGUUGGUUCUCUCUUUUUAUACAUUAUAUUGAGUGGUCUUUGCUUCUUAAUAUGUUCUGUUAUAUAUCGCACCUCAAGGAGGCUGAUGUAGAUAGUCUAAUGCCAUCCACAACUCGAAUUGGUGACCUAUAAGUCAAACAGGGACAAUAUUAUCACUCUCUAUAGUACUUGAGAUUUAUCAGAUGAAAGUUCAGGCA